CACGUAGUUAGCCGGAGCUUUCUCCUUGGCUACCGUCAUUAUCUUCACCAAGAACAGAGUUUUACAAUCCGAAGACCUUCGUCACUCACGCGGCGUUGCUGCAUCAGGGUUUCCCCCAUUGUGCAAUAUCCCCCACUGCUGCCUCCCGUAGGAGUCUGGGCCGUGUCUCAGUCCCAAUGUGGCCGUUCAACCUCUCAGUCCGGCUACCGAUCGUCGCCUUGGUGGGCCUUUACCCCGCCAACUAGCUAAUCGGACGCGAGUCCAUCUUUCAGCGGAUUGCUCCUUUGGUCAGUGCGCCAUGCGACACUCUGACUUUAUGCGGUAUUAGCAUCCUUUUCAGAAUGUUAUCCCCCUCUGAAAGGCAGGUUACUCACGCGUUACUCACCCGUCCGCCACUAGGCUCCAGGAGCAAGCUCCCUUCGCCCCGUUCGACUUGCAUGUGUUAGGCACGCCGCCAGCGUUCGUCCUGAGCCAGGAUCAAACUCU
rnacentral:rRNA from 1 species